AGCAGUGGUGGAGAAGACCGUACCUCCAAGCUGCUGCGAGUAGCGCGGACAUCGAGUUUCGGGAUUUGGCAGCAUCCCACAGUUGCCGGGUUGUGAAAAUCCAACAAGAUUUUAUACAAAUUUCCAUACAAGUGCAUCUUAUACUUGCUGUUUUUGCUCUUUCGAUAUUCUACGAUAUUUUUAUGUAUAUCGAAAAUAUUUGUACCAAGAAUACGGAUAUUAUUAUAACGGCUUAGUGUAUAUAGAAUGUGAGAAAAGGAAAAAAAAAUAGUAGAAUAAGCGUAGGAUUAUUUGGCGGAUUGGCAUCGUUUCAUAGUCGAUAAAUAGAAGAAAAAUCUCGUUAACUCUCGGUCGCAGUGUUACAAGCUCGUGCUUGAAUUCGCGAUUAGCAAACGACUAUUGAACGCAUACAAAUAGGCUGGAAGAGUCAGCUAUAAUCAGCGAGCAACGAUCAUGAGCCCGUGACAAGCAAGCGAUAUUACGAUGCGAUAUUACGAUGCGAUAUUACGAUGCGAUAUUACGAUGCAAUCUUAUGACCCGUUUUCCAUGCUCGUAUUUACAAUAUUUGAGAACGUUAUUACCAACUGAAUAUGGCCUUCAAUACCGAAAUAACCAGUUUUCCUCGAAUCCUGACGGUUCGUUUUGAAAUAAAAACGAAAUCCAAUCGUCGAUAUUCACGAGGUCUCAUUGGAAAAAUUGUCUCGAAAAUGUGUGCUGGAAAUUAUUGUUAGUUGUUAUGUAAACGCAUCGAAGAAAACGACUUUCAUGAAGUAAUCGUUUUUAAGUAUGUAUUUAUAAUUUCAAAGAUAACGAUCGAAAACAUGUUUUUAAGUGACGUUACGCAAAAUAAUACAAUUUUUUAUUGAAAUGAUUAGAACAAGAGAGUGAAACAAAAAGAAACGCCUCCGAGUUUAGGAGGCAGUAAUAAACAAAAUAAAUGUUCUUUGAGCUCGACGCACGUAUGCAUAUUGCAUAUAUACAUAGGUAAAAAGUUUAAACACGCUAAAGAAUUCGCUGAGUAAUCGAAGAAAAGACCUUGUAGACUUGAGCGACUGUAAAACAGUUCAAAGCUCCCUCGCGAAGACGUAAUAGUCACGAUCUUGGUUACGUGGGGGCAGCACUUACUAGUCAUGGAUAUGAGAUAUGUUAUUUCCUUAACCCAUACAUACACAAAUCUUCGUUCACUUCUCGCAUUCUUACGUGCGAGUCGAGCUACGAGAUCUCUAUUUUUACACCUCGUUAUGUCAACGAUUACGAAGAACAUGAAAUUCUACACUAAGGAAGUUGUAUGAUAUAAAAGUAAAGAUCGUAUCUUAUAAAAACACGUUAUAACCU